UUUUUCAAUUUGUGUGAAUAGCGAUAUUUCUGAUGCUUUACUACCCAGUGAACAAAAAUGUGAAGCAUUCGGUCUUCCGACAAUUCAAUCGAUAGGUCUGCUGUAUAGAUUUUAUUUAAUCAAAUAAUAUUAUAAAUAAAAACGUAUUAAGUUACAUUUUUUCCCAGCUAAAUUACUUUUUUUUUCUUUUAUAAAUUUAUGAGGGACAUACAUCUCUAUUACAUAUAAACUUGCCUGAUAACAGUUGUUUUACAGACAUUUACAGUGAAUGGCAAACUUCGAAUGUUACAUUUAAAUACAAUCAUAACCGUACAACACAUGUGUGGUUGGUGAUAAAAAGUAAUUUUAAUUAAUUUACAUAAACAUAUGGCAAUCAUAUGUUGUGCUUGGCAGCUUCCUGUAACAUUUCGUAUCGUUAUAUUUUUGGAUGAUUGUGUGCGUGUUUUACAAUCGUCAGCUAGCAGUUUAUUGAACUCAAUCGCUCGUACAUUAACUUAAAGGCAAUAAAUACACAAUAUUUACGAAUUAAAUGAUC